rnacentral:snRNA from 1 species
GUUUAUCUACAGAAAAAAAA